GUGUUCACCUCGGUGGCAUGUGUACUGAGAUUGGAACGAUACAGAGAAGAGGAGCACGGCACCUGCACAAGGAUGGCGUGCAAAUGCAGGAAUAUUCCACAUUUAA
ensembl:snRNA U6 U6 spliceosomal RNA